CAGCCACUCCCACACCUGGUACUUUGUCCAGAACUGAGGCUGGGAGUCACGAGACCACAGGCGACUUGUGUAUCCAGACAUCAUCAUUGGAACUGAGGAUAGACAUCAAUGAUUGGGGUGGAUGUGGGUCGACAUAUGCAGAGGUCCACUGGGGAAAUAGCAAAAGGGAGAGACAGAGUGGGAGAGAUCAAAGUCUGUCAUAUCAACCCCACUCUGUGUGACACUGUUGUUUCAUAUACUGCGGGGAGAAGUCUGAAAGCAAGGUCAUGUGAUGAGUGAGCAGCACCGAUGUGACAUGAUGUGUAGGGGAAAUAUCACAGAGGUGUAAGAGGGAUACAUGAGAGACAAGAAGCAGGGACAGAUCAGACUACAAGAAGCACCGGACCUGUUUGUUGUGCCAUACUGUAUUAUGAGUUUACCACACAUCCCACAGCCCCUUGUCUUCUAAUUAAUACAACUUCACCGACAGAGUUCCUCCUAGACAUCAAUGAUUGCUCACCUCCCACUCUCCUAAAAACUGCAUGUACAAUACAUUAAUGAAACAGUCUGUCUUUUAAUACAAGACACUGAAACCUACACUGAGGAUGUAACCUGGAUCAUGGCCACCAUACUAUAAGAACAUCCAGUAGA